rnacentral:tRNA from 1 species
GACCGCGUAGCUCAGUUGGAAGAGCAUUGGGCUAGUAUUCCAAAGGUCGUAGGUUCGAAUCCCACCGCGGCCG